CAGCAGCCACGGGAAUACGUAGGUGGCAAGCGUUGUCUGGAAUUAUUGGGCGUAAAGGGCUCGCAGGCGGUUUCUUAAGUCUGAUGUGAAAGCCCCCGGCUCAACCGGGGAGGGUCAUUGGAAACUGGGAAACUUGAGUGCAGAAGGGGAGAGUGGAAUUCCACGUGUAGCGGUGAAAUGCGUAGAGAUGUGGAGAAACACCAGUGGCGAAGGCGACUCUCUGGUCUGUAACUGACGCUGAGGAGCGAAAGCGUGGGGAGCGAACAGGAUUAGAUACCCCCGUAGUCCCUGUCUCUUAUAA
rnacentral:rRNA from 1 species